GGAAUAUUGGACAAUGGGCGCAAGCCUGAUCCAGCCAUGCCGCGUGUGUGAAGAAGGCCUUCGGGUUGUAAAGCACUUUCAGCGAGGAGGAAGGGGUUGUUGUUAAUAGCAACAAUUUUUGACGUUACUCGCAGAAGAAGCACCGGCUAACUCCGUGCCAGCAGCCGCGGUAAUACGGAGGGUGCAAGCGUUAAUCGGAAUUACUGGGCGUAAAGCGCACGCAGGCGGCUUUUUAAGUCGGAUGUGAAAGCCCCGGGCUCAACCUGGGAAUUGCAUUCGAUACUUGGGAGCUAGAGUAUGUGAGAGGGGGGUAGAAUUCCAAGUGUAGCGGCGAAAUGCGUAGAGAUUUGGAGGAAUACCAGUGGCGAAGGCAGCCUCCUGGGCCAACACUGACGCUCAUGCACGAAAGCGUGGGGAGCA
rnacentral:rRNA from 1 species